rnacentral:rRNA from 1 species
GACGGAGGGUGUAAGCGUUGUUCGGAAUUACUGGGCGUAAAGCGCGUGUAGGCGGUCUGUUAAGUCGGAUGUGAAAGCCCUCGGCUCAACCGAGGAAGGUCAUCCGAAACUGGCAGACUCGAGUACUGGAGAGGGAAGGAGAAUUCCAGGUGUAGAGGUGAAAUUCGUAGAUAUCUGGAGGAAUACCGGUGGCGAAGGCGCCUUCCUGGACAGUCACUGACGCUGAGACGCGAAAGCGUGGGGAGCAAACAGG